UAUGUGAUCGUCUCUCGCAUAUCAAUAAGCGGAGGAAAAGAAACUAACAAGGAUCCCCUAGUAACGGCGAGUGAAGCGGGAGGAGCUCAAAUUUGAAAUCUUAAAGGGUUUCCCUUUACGAAUUGUAGUUUAAAGAAGUGUUUUCUGUUGAGGUUUUGGUAAAAGUUCCUUUGGAAUAGGACAUCAUAGAGGGUGAGAAUCCCGUAUUUGACCUUUACUUUCAACUUUGUGAUACACUUUCAAAGAGUCGGAUUGUUUGGGAAUGCAGUCCAAAAUGGGUGGUAAAUUUCAUCUAAAGCUAAAUAUUGGCGAGAGACCGAUAGCGAACAAGUACCGUGAGGGAAAGAUGAAAAGAACUUUGAAAAGAGAGUUAAACAGUACGUGAAAUUGUCAAAAGGGAAGCGUUUGACACCAGUGUUGUUUUUCUGAAAAUCAAUUAAAGAACUGUUUAUGCUAAGCUGUUUAGACUUUAUCAGCUAUCUGUUUAGUUUUGAGCUUUUCUUUAAUGCACUUUUCAGUUAACAAGUCAACAUCAAUUUCUUUUGCUGUAAAAAAGCUUGAGGAAGGUGGCUUGAGAUUCGUCUUAAGUGUUUAUAGCCUCUUGCCUAUGCAGUCGGAGAGAUUGAGGUCUGCAGCGUAGAUCCUUCGGGGCUAAAUGCAUUUGUGCUAAGUUAUAGCAUUUUAUAGACAACUUGUUGACUAUGAUUUGUCUUGUAGCUUACUCGCUUAUGUUAUUUUACCUACGCUUAGGAUGUUGAGCGCAUGUCUCUCUC
rnacentral:rRNA from 1 species